AAUAAGAUCAUUUUUUAGGUUUUUUGAUACAAUGUUUUGACUCUUUGUCUUAUUUAAAUUUUUUUGCGAUUAAUAUUUUUAUUCUUACUAGAUAAUAAAACAUGAACAAUACUUUAUGUGUGACUAAUUUUUUAAAAUUUUUUAUUAAUUUUUUAAAUAAGAUGAACGGUCAAACGUUGGACACGGAAAAAC
rnacentral:pre_miRNA from 1 species